rnacentral:rRNA from 1 species
CGUUGAUCCUGCGGGAGGCUGCUGCUAUUGGGAUUCGAUUUAGCCAUGCAAGUCCUGGGGUUCUUCGGAACACCGGCAAACUGCUCAGUAACACGUCGAUAAUCUGCCCUUAGGUCAAGCAUAACCUUGGGAAACUGAGGCUAAUACUUGAUAUGGGAAAAUGCCUGGAAUGGUUUUUCCUUGAAAGGUAACGCCUAAGGAUGAGUCGGCGGCCGAUUAGGUAGUUGGUGGGGUAAUGGCCCACCAAGCCGUUGAUCGGUAGGGGCCUUGGAAGAGGUAGCCUCGAGAAGGGUACUGAGAUACUGACCCUAGCCCUACGGGGUGCAGCAGGCGCGAAACCUUUACAAUGCACGAAAGUGUGAUAAGGGAAUCCUGAGUGCUCAUGUUUUACAUGGGCUUUUGCUAAGUGUAAAUAGCUUGGCGAAUAAGUGGUGGGAAAGACUGGUGCCAGCCGCCGCGGUAACACCAGCGCCACAAGUGGGAGUCACGAUUAUUGGGCCUAAAGCGUUCGUAGCCGGUCCUGAAAGUCUUUUGUGAAAUUGUUGCACUAAACGUAACAGCGUGCAGAAGAUACUACAGGACUAGGAACCGGGAGGCGUCAGAAGUAUUCUGGAGGGAGCGGUAAAAUGCUAUAAUCUCCAGAGGACUACCUGUGGCGAAGGCGUCUGACGAGAACGGUUUCGACGGUGAGGAACAAAAGCUGGGGGAGCGAUCCGGAUUAGAUACCCGGGUAGUCCCAGCCGUAAACGCUGCGAGCUAGGUGUAGCACAUUUUUCGCGAAUGUGCUGUGUCGAAGCGAAGGCGCUAAGCUCGCCGCCUGGGAAGUACGGUCGCAAGACUGAAACUUAAAGGAAUUGGCGGGGGAGCACUACAAGGGGUGCGGCGUGCGGUUUAAUCUAACUCAACACAGAGAAUCUCACCAGGGGCGACGGCAGGAUGAAGGUCAGGUUGAAGACUUUACCUGACGAGCCGAGAGGAGGUGCAUGGCCGUCGUCAGCUCGUGCCGUAAGGUGUCCUCUUAAGUGAGGCAACGAGCGAGACCUGUACCUACAAUUGCUAACAGCCAAUUCUUGGGACUGAGCACAAUGUAGGGACUGCCUGGGAAACCAGGAGGAAGGUGCAGGCUACGGUAGGUCUGUAUGCCCCGAAUCCCCUGGGCUACACGCGCGCAACAAUGGUAGGGACAAUGGGAUGCAACUCCGAAAGGAGAAGCUAAACCUCUAAACCCUAUCCAAGUCUAGAUCGAGGCUUGCAACUCAGCCUCGUGACAAUGGAAUCCCUAGUAAUCAGACGUCAUCAGCGUCCGGUGAAUAUGUCCCUGCUCCUUGCACACACCGCCCGUCAAACCAACCGAGCAGGUUCCAUGUGAGGUUUGACCUUUUAGUCAAUUCGAACAUGGGAUCAGUGAGGUGGGUUAAGUCGUCACAAGGUA